UAGAUUAUUCUGUCUUUAUCAGAAUCAACUCUGAAGAACACAGAAUAAGCUGUCAAUAUGUUUGUUUCUUUGACGACGACAUUUCACGCUCCUGUGAUUUUCUAAAUAAGUAUGAUCCUCCAUUUAUCAGAUUUUGGUUUCAAAAACUUCUCACUAUACAAAAUGUUUGGUCUGUUCUUCUUCUUUGUUUUAAAACCGGUGCAUUUCCGGUAGUCGCCCACUGAAUCUAAAACACGUAAGGCCCUCACUGGAGCCAGUGUUAGGUUUGUCCGUUCUGCGCUACUGUAGAAACAUGGCGAUACAACAUGGUGGCCACCGUGGAGGGGGACCCGCUCCCAUGUAGAUAUAAAGGGCUUAUUUCUAAGGUAUCAAACACUCUGCUUGUGCCUGUCUGCCUGUUUGCCAACGUUAGUCACACUGCAUGGCUGGAGGGCAGCAGAAGGCAGACACCAUCAUUGCCAUCAGGAAUGGGCAACAUGAUUGCUGAUUAGUUAUUUAGAUUGAGGUUUUCAUCUAUUGUACUCUGUGUUCUUUGGAUGUCGGCAAAGUUGAAUUCUUUCCAGUGCUGCUAUUCUCCCAUUAAUGCUGUGUGCCUGCGUGCUGAUGGUGUGUUUGUGGAGCAGCUCUGAGUGAUUACCGUGUAGAGCAACAGUACAGGCUCUCUUACCACAACGAAUUAAGCCAGAGUGCCAGGCCCACAGGGAAAACUCUUCAUCAGAGGACCAAGUAGAAGAUAAAAGAGUGCUACAACUCAAUCACUAUCUGAUCACAGAGUUUAACAGGAGACAAAACUCAGUGUGACACAUGCAAUGCAUCUAAUUACCGCAAAAUACACAGGUGGAAGCAGGAGCCAAACACAGCACAACAGCCUGGGGCUAAAGUCACAGCAAAAUUAAUAAUAAUGUGGCAUUCAGUGGUGUAUCAGACAAGAACAGUAAGGUAGCUUUACAAAACAAAGAUAAGACUCCAGGAUAGACAGUCGUGUCAGCACAAACAGACACACACACGUAUACGACACAGACACACAACUGGACGCACAUGCCACAAAUCAUAUCCCCUGUUUUGUUUCUCACUCCUCUUGCUCCUACUUUUGAUUUAUCCCUCCCAGACACUCAUGCAGACAAACACACAAAGGCACACAAACACCAUGACACUCGUGUACCGUGAUUAUUGCCUACAGUCACAAGGUCAAGCUGGUGAAUCAAACAGUCAUCCCAGUAGACACCAGUUUCCUCUGAGACAUGAAAGGCCUGGACAACAGCAUGCUACCAAGCUCAUAGUGCUCCUACAACCCCGCAACCAAGACCUCUGCUGGGAAUCACGGCAGGAGACACUCCCCUAGGGUCGGAGCCCCUUUGGAGAUGUACACUCAGCAGCAGCAGAGGAUCAAAGCCUGGUGGAGAAAAUAGAUCAGAUUAAUGAAGCCAAGCUGUUUCUUCAGCUCAGAGACAUGGAUGGUGACCAGCAUGGCUAAAUCUGCUCCUCUACAGAUUUCGUAAUGAUACACAGUUAUUCUUUGGUAUGCUGUCAACAAAAGGUUCCAUGGACAUAACUCAAAUGUGCUAUGAAAUGCAAAAUCUAAUUGAUGUGUUAAUAAUGCAUUGUCAAGGACCAACUCUGAGUUCUGUUUUUGUCCACAUGUAACCCACAAUCACUGCUAAUAGAUUUAGUUUGACGAUAAAGGAUGAUUCCAGCAACGUUAGCCUUAUUUUCACAGUUUUGCUAUCAUUUCUAUCCAUUCGGAUAAAAUUGUACUCACCAAAGUACUGGCUGAGAUUUGGGAACAUGAUGACAUUGCAGCAAUAAAACCUCAGACAGGUUGUAAACAAGCCAACUGUUUAGCCACAGGCUAUUCAGCUUUGGAGGAAAAACCAAAAGUGAGCUCACAAGUAAAGUUGGUAAACAAAGGCAAGUAUGGUACUGAAGGUCAAGUCGGACCAGGAAGUUGGUCUGUAAACUUUGGAUACUUUUGCCUUUGUUUUCUCUUCCAAAAAAAUUUGUGUAACCUGGGCUUUGUUAAAAAUACAUAUGAUCACGUGACUACUCUUUGGCUGGUUUUUAGCUAUGCAAUAAUGGGUUUUUGGUUAUUGCUGGGCCUUUUAAGUUGACAUGGUGAACAUUAGUAAAUAGCAAUAUUAGCAUUCUGUUGGAGUAGUGUUACUGGCCACCUCUGUUUUUGGUCUCCACCAGCUAGUUAUAGGGAAAUACCUGGCUCUUUAAUUGCUAAAUGCCCACUAUGUUCACCAGCUAGUUGGUAAUUUUGCCUGUCCCAUCAUUUGGCGCUAGGUGGGUAGCGUGCAGUGGGUUUUUACCCUGAAACAGCUGCCAGCUGUUCAGAUGCUGAUGAGAGCAGUGAGAGUGAACAAAAGAGGGUGAUUUCCUUACUACGAGCAACCUUUGAUGCAAGUGGUCAUAUGAGCUGUUGUGAAUAUAAAAAUGUUGA